rnacentral:misc_RNA from 1 species
UUUCCGUAGGUGAACCUGCGGAAGGAUCAUUAUCGAAUUUCAGGAUGUGCUGGCGGUCAACGCAUGUGCACUCCAAAAAUCCAACCUCACCUGUGCAUGACGGUAGGGCCCUUUAGGGCUCUAUGUUUUUUAUUCACGCUCUGAUAAUGUAUGAGAAUGAAUUGUUAAAUAAAUGUAACAACUUUCAACAAUGGAUCUCUUGGUUCUC